UUUAGCACCCAUCAUUGAUUAUUUGCUUGAAACUGUUCACCCGUUGGUACUUGCCAAAUAGCAGUUGUCCAUCUCGUCAUUAUUUCUGUACUUAUCAGUGGGGAUUCUAAUGUCAGGAAGAACUUACUUUUCCACUCAGAGAAAUUUAAUGAUUCGUAUUGGUAUGAACCCAUGCAUGUUCAUUAUAUGUGUAUUAUCGAUAACUGUGGUUAUCUUUUGCUCAGUUUUUUCUAGAUCUGGCCACUGGAUGCCUUUCAUUUUUUGAGCACUGCCUUACUUUUGGCACUACGAGAGACGCCAGGCUCCUCUGUGCCGUCCCUGCCCCAGCCUUGGAGUCAGCCACUGCUUCAGUGGACAUCUCGCCAGAAGCCCAAACACUGAAAUUAAUAACUAGGAACUUUCAUAGAAAACCAAAUUGAGGGACAUUCUCCAAAAUAACUGGUCAGUGCUCUUCAAAAAUGAAAGACAAAGCAAGACUGAGGAAUGAUCCCCGAUUAAAGGAGGCUAAGGGAUGUGGCGGGUAAAUGCAGGAUGGGACCCUGGACUGGAUUCUGAAUUGGAAAAGACACCAAAGGGUAGUUUUCCCAUUUAAGAGCCAAUGCUCCUUGAUUCAAGAAGGGAACAGCAAGAACAAAAGUUAACACCUCUUGAAGGUCUCCUAUGUUUGGAGAGCUAUUCCAAGUUGACUAAUGUGAUGUCCCCACUACUAGGUCACAUUGUCUCAAUUUAUCAGUGAGGAAACGGAUACAAAAAGGUCCUCCCUGUUACAUUGAACCCAAAAGGCAAGCAUGAAUUGAACCGUGAGACUUUGUGAUCUUUUCCAAAUAGGUGUGUGUGUGCGCGUGUGCGCGCGCGCGUGUGCACGCGCAUACAUGUCUAUAAC